ACAAUCGUCUGUCUUCUUUGUCAUCGGCUUCUUCUUUUGCAUGCACACAUCAAUAUUAUCUAUGCAAACCGGCUGCCAACAAGGCAUAAAAAGGGCAGAUGUAUUCUUUCGGCUUCCGUUUUUAUUCAUCAUAAACGCUCGCCUGAACGUAUGCAAAUUUGGCGGUUCCUUCCCCUUAUCGAAGAAUACACAAGAGGGAACAC
ensembl:ncRNA T05A6.11 ncRNA